rnacentral:rRNA from 1 species
GUACUACUCUCAGAGUUUGAUCCUGGCUCAGGAUGAACGCUGGCGGCGUGCCUAACACAUGCAAGUCGAACGGAACUUUUACUGAUUGAGACUUCGGUUGAUUGAAGUUUAAGUUUAGUGGCGGACGGGUGAGUAACGCGUGAGUAACCUGCCUUUCACAGGGGGAUAACGUUUGGAAACGAACGCUAAUACCGCAUAAUAUAGCGAGACCGCAUGAUCUUGCUAUCAAAGAUUUUAUCGGUGAAAGAUGGACUCGCGUCCGAUUAGGUAGUUGGUGAGGUAACGGCCCACCAAGCCGACGAUCGGUAGCCGGACUGAGAGGUUGAACGGCCACAUUGGGACUGAGACACGGCCCAG